rfam:Rubellimicrobium mesophilum DSM 19309 genomic scaffold scaffold6, whole genome shotgun sequence.
CGAGAGGUUGGCGCGGGCAGGCGCCUCGCCAACCCGGUCAGGUCCGGAAGGAAGCAGCCGCAACGAGACCCGUCUGGGUCGUGUCCAGCCUCUCACCG